rnacentral:rRNA from 1 species
AGAGUUUGAUCAUGGCUCAGAACGAACGCUGGCGGCGUGCUUAACACAUGCAAGUCGAACGCGAAAGGGGCUUCGGCCCUGAGUAGAGUGGCAGACGGGUGAGUAACACGUGGGUAAUUUGUCCUUGGGUGUGGAAUAACUACCCGAAAGGGUGGCUAAUACCGCAUAAGACCACGUCUCUUCGGAGAUGCGGUAAAAGAUUUCGGUUGCCCAAGGAGGAGCCCGCGGCCGAUUAGCUAGUUGGUGAGGUAAUGGCUCACCAAGGCAUCGAUCGGUAGCUGGUCUGAGAGGAUGAUCAGCCACACUGGUACUUAGACACGGACCAGACUCCUACGGGAGGCAGCAGUGGGGAAUAUUGCGCAAUGGGCGAAAGCCUGACGCAGCAACGCCGCGUGGGUGAUGAAGGCCUUCGGGUCGUAAAGCCCUGUCAGAUGGGAAGAAACCUGGUAACAGCUGACGGUACCAUCAAAGGAAGCACCGGCUAACUCCGUGCCAGCAGCCGCGGUAAUACGGAGGGUGCAAGCGUUGUUCGGAAUCACUGGGCGUAAAGGGAGCGUAGGCGGACCUUAAAGUCUGAUGUGAAAGCCCGGGGCUCAACCCCGGAAGUGCAUUGGAUACUUGAGGUCUUGAGUUCGGGAGAGGAAGGCAGAAUUCCCGGUGUAGGGGUGAAAUCCGUAGAGAUCGGGAGGAAAACCAGUGGCGAAGGCGGCCUUCUGGAACGAAACUGACGCUGAGGCUCGAAAGCGUGGGGAGCAAACAGGAUUAGAUACCCUGGUAGUCC